rfam:Myxococcus xanthus DK 1622, complete genome.
GGGGCUAUAGCUCAGCUGGGAGAGCGCUUGAAUGGCAUUCAAGAGGUCAUCGGUUCGAUCCCGAUUAGCUCCA